AAAUAAAGAUAAAGAAAGUUUCUUUUUAAAUGUAAAACUUGGAAAUAUUUAUUUCAGAGGCUCCAAAGUUUGAGGACAGGUGUGUACAAACAGAGGCUAUAUGUCAGGAAUUAGGGGCUGCAUCUCAGGCAAAUGAGUCUCGAAACCUGAAUGGGAAGUAUCUCAAAAGAGCAGCAGAGAAGUUAGGGAGCAACUGGCAGCAAGCAGGUAUUUUUCUAGGAGUUCCAGCAAUUGACCAGGAUAUUAUCAAGAACGAUUUUCCUCAUGACACAGUAAAACAGAGUUAUCAAAUGCUUUGUGAGUGGUUUAUAAAUUGUAAACCAGAGGAACGUACAGUUGAGACCCUCAGAAGAGGCCUUAAAGAUGCUGAGUGCUUUGCUGCCCUUGAGUAUCUCUCAUUAUAUGAACGGUGAAUUUCUGUGUAAAUUCUACUGUUGUUUACUCCCAGGUGAAUGCUGACCAAAGAGAGAGACCUUUGACCAAAGUAUAGAGAACCAAGAACCACAUUCUCCAAUUUGUCCUCCUUUACAAUGAUGAGGUGUGGAGUGCAGUGGAUUUAGCUACUAAUUCUAGCAGAUCUAUCUCUCACAUAAGAGAUACCCUUCACUGGUUUGGUUCCUUUGUUAGAAAUUAGCUUUUGAAAUAAAGAUAAACUUUGAAAUAUC